rnacentral:rRNA from 1 species
GACGAACGCUGGCGGCGUGCUUAACACAUGCAAGUCGAACGGAAAGGCCCCCACUUUUUUGGUGGGGGUGCUCGAGUGGCGAACGGGUGAGUAACACGUGGGUGAUCUGCCCUGUACUUCGGGAUAAGCUUGGGAAACUGGGUCUAAUACCGGAUAGGACCAUGGUUUAGUGUCUCAUGGUGGAAAAAUUAUUGUUUUGGUGCAGGAUGAGCUCGCGGCCUAUCAGCUUGUUGGUGGGGUAAUGGCCUACCAAGGCGUCGACGGGUAGCCGGCCUGAGAGGGUGGACGGCCACAUUGGGACUGAGAUACGGCCCAGACGCCUACGGGAGGCAGCAGUGGGGAAUAUUGCACAAUGGGCGCAAGCCUGAUGCAGCGACGCCGCGUGGGGGAUGACGGCCUUCGGGUUGUAAACUCCUUUCGUUAGGGACGAAGCCGCACCUUUUUUGGGUGUGGUGACGGUACCUUUGUGAAGAAGCACCGGCUAACUACGUG